UCGUUUUCGGCCACAUAUUUUUGACGAUCACUGCCAAAAACAAAAACACGACCCUCACUACCAAAAACUAAAACAUGAUCUUCAUUGUCUCACUGAUUCUCCAACCGAUUCACUUCCUUCGUUUCAUCGAUUCUUCCUCGUCAUCUAUCGAUUCACCACCGUCAGCCCUUCUUUCGUUUCAUCGAUUCAUCACCGUUUCACCUGAAAGAAAGAACGAACAAAAUACAUUCGUCAACCAUCGUUUCAUUAUCGGAAAGAGGAAACACGGUCGAUUCAGAUUCGCCUCCGAAUCACCUGUCAAAUUAGUCCCCAAUCACAGAAGAACUUUCAAUUUUCUUCUUUCUAUUCAAAAUUCAGUACCAUCUAAUCCUUAAUUUGUUGUGUGUCGAACCCUAAAAAUUCAUUUAGCUGUGUGAUCUCCUUCAAACCCUAAAACACCAUGGAUUUAUUGAGUGACUUACUCCAAAUCAUUCAUUCAGAAAUCUACAGUUUUGCUAGAACGUCAUCGGAAUAAGAAGAAUGCUCUACAUCUUUCACUUCAUAUCCCAUUGUCUCCUUCAAAGCUCCGAAAUAACCGUUUUGAAUAAAAUCACAGUAUAGGUUUACAACUCUCUCUUGGUUUCAAACUUUCAAUUAUGUUUGCGAUGAAAAAUUUUAGAAAGGAAUUGAUCAGCAACUGGGAUGAUUCAACCAUUCUGUCUCAGCAUGAAACAACCUAAGUGAUGGUUAUGAUAGUAAAAAAAUAAUUAUCAGGGACCUGGCACAAAACAAUCUUAGUGGUGAAAUACCAAGGUUUAUAUAAUGGAAAGAAGUUUUGCAAUAUAUCACAUAUGGCUUAUUAAAAACAACUCUUGAAGAUAACUUGGGCAGUCUGCACUGUGAAGAAGACCGUGAUAUCUUUAAGCAACCACUAUGCAGCCUAAGUACACACAAGGCUUCCAAUGUCACGACACUCUGGAAAAACAACAGGGGAAGGGAUUGGUGCAAGUAAACUAGUGACCAUGUCCGACAACGAAUUAGAGCAAGUACACUUGUAUACGAGGAAAACAAGAAGCAGUUAUUUUGCCUAGUUAAGUGAUUGUAUAUGUGGGUUCAGCGCUUUUGGUUCGUGAAGUUUGGUUACUACUUGGUAUUGUUUUGUUGUCCUUUCUUGUUUUCUUAGGUGUUUUGUUUAGAGAAUAUGACUAUUUGCUUUGGAAUUUGGAUUGAAAUACUCUUAGUUGGAAUGUAUGCAUCUAAAAAUUUGGCUAUGCAAAUGUCCUAUUUUUUUAGUA